GGAGGUGCGAAUAUGUCGGAGACAUAUUUUUUCAUUGCACCGACCGACUUGUCGCUGACCAAAGGAAAGGGGCGAUACCUUU
rnacentral:sRNA from 1 species